UAAUCAUUAUUGCAUUCACAAAGAGCAGACCUAAAGUUUGUUUGGAGUAUAAUCAAAAGUCAUUUGUUCCUGAAGUACUUACUCAUAUACAGAUUAAUAUAUAUAUAUGUGUGUAUAUAUAUAUACACACACACACACACACAUAUAAAUCUCAAUACUCUGUGAAGAAUGUAAGAAAUUGCAACUGUUUUUUUCUUAUGACACUAAACGUGCUCAAAAAAGGAAAAGAAAGGGCGCGCGUUCCCCGCGCGCCGCCUGCCGUCCUCUGUCAGUUCUCUCCUUAGUCCGCAAUCGCCACUUCCGUUAACGGCUCUCGUCUCCGAGCUUGCGACUGGCGGACAGGAGUCCUCGGCAGGAAGAGGCCGGACUCGGAGUCGUCGCCCGAGACUUUCUUCUCAGGAGUUCAAGGUGCUUUGUACGACUUCUCCCGCCCAGGCCGUGGCCCCUGCAGGGCGUCUGUAAGCCAUGGUUGCCAUCAGGAAGAAACUGGUGAUCGUUGGCGAUGGAGCUUGUGGCAAGACGUGCUUGCUCAUAGUCUUCAGCAAGGACCAGUUCCCAGCGGUGUACAUGCUCACCAUGUUUGAGAACUAUGUGGCAGAUAUCCAGGUGGAUGGAAAGCAGGUAGAGUUGGUUUUGUGGGACACAGCUGGGCAGGAAGACUAUGACCGCCUAAGGCCCCUCUCCUACCCAGACACUGAUGUUAUACUGAUGUGCUUCUCCAUCGACAGCCCUGAUAGCUUAGAAAACAUCCUAGAAAAAUGGAUCCCGGAAGUCAAGCAUUUCUGUCCCAAUGUGCCCAUCAUCCUGGUCGGGAACAAGAAGGAUCUUCGCAAUGAUGAGCACACGAGGCAGGAGCUAGCCAAGAUAAAGCAGGAGCCUGUAAAACCCGAGGAAGGCAGAGACAUGGCGAACAGGAUUGGCGCGUUUGGGUACAUGGAGUGUUCAGCGAAGACCAAAGAUGGAGUGAGGGAGGUUUUCGAAAUGGCUACCAGAGCUGCUCUGCAAGCCAGACGUCGGAAGAAAAAAUCUGGGUGCCUUGUCUUGUGAAACCUUGCUGCGAGCACAGCCCUUAUGUGGUUAAUUUUGAAGUGCUGUUUAUUAAUUUUAGUGUAUAAUGACUGGCUUUUUUCAUUUAUCUAUAAUUUACCUAAGAUUACAAAUCAGAAGUUAUCUUGCUACCAGUAUUUAGAAGCCAACCAUGAUUAUUAAUGAUGUCCAACCCAUCUGGCCCACCAGAGUGUCCUCUCGACACUGCUCUAACGCCCCUUUUCUGCACUCCCACCUGACACACCAGGCGCUAUAAGAAAUUCAAGGAAUUUCUUAAUAACUUCUUGCUUUUUUCUAGAAAGAGAAACAGUUGGUAACUUUUGUGAAUUAGGCUGUACCUACUUUAUAACUAACAUGUCCUGCCUGUCAUCUGUCAGCUGCAAGGUACUCUGGUGAGUCACCACUUCAGAGCUGUACUCCUUAACACAUUUCAUUGGCACAGCUCUGGGAUGAGCAUACGGUUUUUUGAAAAUGUGCUCAGCCAGAAAGGCCCAAGUCCAUGCAGCUUUGGCAGAGUUACAGCUGUGUGGUUUCAUGUCAGUUUCCUUAUAGUUAUUGUGUAAUUAGUGACACUUAAUGUAUGUUACCAAAAAUAAAUAUAUCUACCCCCAGACUA